CGUGCCCCCACCGUCCCCUCUGAGCUCAGGGCCCCAUCCCCGCUCGCACUUGCCCUCCCUGCCCUGACUCCAUUUCCAGGGAGCCCCAGGACAGCCACCCCCCCAAGCCCUGCUCCUCCCGUCUGCCUGACACCCCACUGUGUUCCCCUGGAGCUGCACCUCUGGGUGCCCCUGCCUCAGCCCCUGAGGCUGGGGUGACCCCGAGCCCUCCCACCUUCACCCUGAGGGGUGAUUUGGGGCCCGGGCCUCCGUCCUUCGGGAAGGCCACUGCUUAGCGACUGUCUGCAGGGCAGGCCCUCCGGAGGCUGGCCCCGCGGGUGUGCAGGGAGGCGCCCAGAGCAGUGCCCUCCGGCUCCGUGCCCUGCGCAGGUGGGAGGCCCAGAGACCCGGAGACCACCGCCAGGCCCUGGGCUCAGGGUUGGCCCUUCCCACCUGAGGCCAUCACGGCUGUAGUAGCCGCAGCUGCCGCUCGCCCUGGCCCUCGAUGGGUUGAGCCAGAAUUCAGGCUUGGUUGUCCAAGUUCUGGUGUGUGGCCCCCGGAGAAGAGCUUACCGAGGUGGCCGUCACACCGUAGACGGGAGGACUUCAGCUGUACAGAGACGCGGCUGCCUCCUGGGCGGCCCGGGAGGACCUGACCCUCGCCACCAACAGGUCUGACCAAGGCCCCAGAGACGGCACGGGGCUGAGUGGUGCCAAGGGGUCAUUCGGCCCCGGACAUGGCAGCUCGGCACCACGCUCCUGCCAUCCUGGGGAGGUGGGGCUGCUCAUUGCGCAGAGGCCGAGUGUAAGGAAGAGCUGUUUCACUGGUGGAAAUCGGUCCAUUUUACACCAGAGCCCUGAAGCAUACUCGUCUUCCUCCUUGAAGCUAGAGAGUCAGCCCUGAGGAUGGUCCCAGGUCACCCCGGGUCUCUGGAGUCCCUCUGUGGUGCCAGAGCCGAGUGGCAAAGCCCCUCUGUUGUGUGAUGAGUUGCGGAGCUUCAGGGGAGAGGUGGUGCACCUGCUGCCAGGCCUGUGUGCCAGCAGUGUGGGUCUGCUCUCCACCCACCGUCGGACGCCGGGCCGCCGCCUUUCGGGGUGCGUGUGCACUCUGGACAGAUUGUGCGUCAUCUUAGGUUCUCUGGUCAGCAGAUGGCGGCCCUGCUGCGGGCCAAACCCUGCAAAGUGGGCUAGGCAGCAGCCCCCCCCCCCCCCCCAGACCACGCUCCAGGGAAGGGCUCGGGGCGCGGAUGUUGGAUGCAGCGCCUGUAACCAGGAGUGCUACGAGGCCGCAGUGGCUGGUGGUGCCCUGCACUGCCCGUUCCCAGGAGGAAGCUGGCACGGGAUGGGAUGUGGCAUGAGUGCCGGGGUGCCCGUUGGUCUUCCUGCUGCACCCACGCCCGUCCCCAUGUCCCUCCAGCCGUGGCCUGAGCCCCUGCUCUGAUCCCUCUCCCGCCUCUCCUUCCUGCCUCUGGGCCACACCAGCUCUGCCCACAGGGAAGUCGCCGCAGAGCGCGUGGGGCACGUCUGGCCGAGCCAAGGGGGCCCCUAACUGCAGGCCCGGUCUGAGGGUCAGUUGUGUUUCAGGCGUGGAGGAGACUGAGGGCCUCCUGAGGUCUGUACCAUGUGUGGUUGUUUGACCCAGGCUCUGCGGACAGAUGGCUGUCAUCCUAGGUCCACUGUCAGGGGCUCUGUGACCUUGGGCAGGAACCUCACUGAGCCUCAGUUUACUCCUCUGUGAAGUGCUUUAGCCUUACCUACCACCCACCUGAGGGGCUGUGUGAGGUCGGGUGAGGUCAAGGGCUGGGGGGCGUGGGGGAGGGGCGUGGCGGGAGCCAGGUGAGCAGACACUCUUCAGGAGCAGGUGAGUGCUCUCGCUCAGUGAGUGCUCUCGCUCAGGCCACACCGGGAAGUUGCAUUUCAUACCCAGGGUUCAGCCCGGUGUGGCCUCGUGCUGAGCCACGGAGCGAGUCAUUGGAGUCCAUCCUUCCCUCCUCAAACCUCUAACGGGCUGUUUCAUUUCAACACUGCGGUCACUCAAGGCCAGCAGGCGGGCUUCUGGGCUCCUCCAGCAGGAACAGGUCCUCAGGCCCCUGCUGGCCUCAGGGCAGCCCUGGACAGCAGCCGCCACUUCUCACACUGUCUCAGGGGUCGCAGGUCUGAGAUCGAGGCAGGGCCUCGCUCCCUUGGGAAGCUCCAGGGAAGGAGCUGUCCUGCCUCCCCCAGCUCCGGAUGGCUCCGUCUUACGUGGCUUCUCCUGCGUGUCUGUGUCUGCACCUGGCCUCUUCCUCUCCUCAUAAGGACCCCAGUCACUGGAUCGGGGCCCACCCUAAUGGCCUCAUCUUCACUUGGUCACAUCUGCAAAGGCCUUGUCUCCAAAUAAGGUCACAGUCACAGAUGUCAGGGGUUAGGACUUCAACACAACUUCUUGGAGGGCACAGCUCAGCCCUCUAGGGCGCCCACGAGUGCCCAAGGUACUAAGGACAGGGAAGGUGAGCCAGGGGCGCUGCCAUGAGGCCGGGUACAUUGCUGUUAGCGGAGAGCAAAAACCCCUGUGAUUCUGGAGGGCUCACCCUGGAAAGGGCCUGGGUUUUAGCUGCUCUGCUGGCCAGGAGCCACCUUGUGUUCCCGAAGCUGUCAAACUCCUGUCCAAAUUAAGCCAAUUUUGGUGUAGCAUCUGACAUUUUGCUUACAAUUCUGAUUUGGGGGGGCUCUUGUUGGAAGACAAGUGGGAGAUGGUUGCCGAUGAGGCUAGAGCCUAGAGGCACAUUACCCCGUGGUGGCCCAGAGGCCUUGCCGAGACCUGGCUCCCAGAGACCACCUUGGGUCCCAUCACCAGGGGAACUUCAGGCCUCUAUGAGCAGAUGGCUAGAAUUUGGAGUUUGUGCUUUUCCUGGCAGGAACUUGGUGAAGUGGGGUACCCAGGACCACCACUCCUUGGCCGAGUGUGCACAAGGGUCUGCAAGGACGGGUGGCGUCCUCAGAAGGGCACGGAGCAGGAGCAGCUCCCAGGGGAACCACUGCCAAAGCUUGACUGGCCUCACUGUCAUGAGGACUUUGAAAGGGGCACUUGAGCGACCUCCACGGCCCGGGAAGGGAUCUGCACGUCAGCCUGCCUCUGAGAGCACGGUGGGCCACACACCUAGGCCUCCCAGGUGCCAAGUGCCCCCGCAGCGCUGCGCCUCAGAGCUCGGGGCUCCGUGACCGGCGCCGUCACAGG